AUUGAACGCUGGCGGCAUGCCUUACACAUGCAAGUCGAACGGCAGCACGGGUGCUUGCACCUGGUGGCGAGUGGCGAACGGGUGAGUAAUAUAUCGGAACGUACCUUAUUGUGGGGGAUAACGCAGCGAAAGCUGUGCUAAUACCGCAUAAUCCCUAAGGGGGAAAGCGGGGGACCGUAAGGCCUCGCGCAAUUAGAGCGGCCGAUACCUGAUUAGCUAGUUGGUGAGGUAAAGGCUCACCAAGGCAACGAUCAGUAGCUGGUCUGAGAGGACGAUCAGCACCACUGGGACUGAGACACGGCCCAGACGCCUACGGGAGGCAGCAGUGGGGAAUUUUGGACAAUGGGGGCAACCCUGAUCCAGCAAUGCCGCGUGAGUGAAGAAGGCCUUCGGGUUGUAAAGCUCUUUUGUCAGGGAAGAAACAGCAGCUCUAACACAGUUUGCGAAUGACGGUACCUGAAGAAUAAGCACCGGCUAACUACGUGCCAGCCGCCGCCGUAA
rnacentral:rRNA from 1 species